AACGAACGCUGGCGGCGUGCUUAACACAUGCAAGUCGAGCGCGAAAGGGGGGGCAACUCCCCGAGUAGAGCGGCGCACGGGUGAGUAACGCGUGGGUAACCUACCUCCGGGCGGGGGAUAACUACUCGAAAGGGUGGCUAAUACCGCAUGAGACCACGGGGUCUUCGGCUCCUGAGGCCAAAGAUGGCAUCGGCUUGCCGGUGCUGUCACCUGGGCCUGGGCCCGCGUACGAUUAGCUAGUUGGUGAGGUAACGGCCCACAAAGGCUACGAUCGUUAGCUGGUCUGAAAGGAUGGCCAGCCACACUGGAACUGAAACACGGUCCAGACUCCUACGGGAGGCAGCAGUGAGGAAUAUUGCGCAAUGGGGGAAACCCUGACGCAGCAACGCCGCGUGGGUGAAGAAGGCCUUCGGGUCGUAAAGCCCUUUCGGACGGGACGAACGUUUCGCGGGGCUAAACCGCGAAGCUUGACGGUACCGUAAGAAGAAGCACCGGCUAACUACGUGCCAGCCGCCGCCGUAAGAC
rnacentral:rRNA from 1 species